UACGUAGGGGGCAAGCGUUAUCCGGAUUUACUGGGCGUAAAGCGCCCGUAGGCGGCCUGACAAGUUGGACGUGAAAGCUCCUGGCUUAACUGGGAGAGGCCGUUCAAAACUGUCAAGCUAGAGUCUGGAAGAGGAGAGCGGAAUUCCCGGUGUAGUGGUGAAAUGCGUAGAGAUCCGGAGGAACACCAGUGGCGAAGGCGACACGCUGGGCCGUACCUGACACUGAUGAGCGACAGCAUGGGGAGCAAACAGG
rnacentral:rRNA from 1 species